CAAUAGCGUAUAUUAAAGUUGUUGCAGUUAAAAAGCUCGUAGUUGGAUUUCUGGCGGGAGCGAUCGGUCUGGCGCUUAGCGCGAGUACUUGCAUCGUCUCCGGCCAUCCUUGGGGAGAGUCUGUCUGGCAUUAGGUUGUCGGGCAGAGGAUCCUCAUCGUUUACUGUGAAAAAAUUAGAGUGUUCAAAGCAGGCUUAUGCCGUUGAAUAUAUUAGCAUGGAAUAAUAAGAUAGGACUUUGGUACUAUUUUGUUGGUUUGCGCACCAAAGUAAUGAUUAAUAGGGACAGUUGGGGGUAUUCGUAUUCCGUUGUCAGAGGUGAAAUUCUUGGAUUUACGGAAGACGAACUACUGCGAAAGCAUUUACCAAGGAUGUUUUCAUUAA
rnacentral:rRNA from 1 species